rnacentral:rRNA from 1 species
CUACAUAACCAACACCGCCCUCUUCUUUGAGUAUGCUUCUCAGCAUAUUUCUAAUUUACUGUGAACUGUUUUACUGUUUAGCGUUUUGAGGGAUUGCCUAAAGAUUAUAGGGAUAGGUCUUUAGGAUGUUAACCUAGCUAAAGUCAGGCUUAGGCCUGGUAUCCUAAUUCAUUAUUUACCAAAAGAAUUCAGAAUUAAUUAUUGUAACAUAAGCGUAAAAAACUUAUAAAACAACUUUUAACAACGGAUCUCUUGGUUCUCGCAUCGAUGAAGAACGUAGCAAAGUGCGAUAACUAGUGUGAAUUGCAUAUUCAGUGAGAUCAUCGAGUCUUUGAACGCAUCUUGCGCUCAAUGGUAUUCCAAUUGAGCACGCCUGUUUCAGUAUCAACAACUAACCCACAUCCACAAUUUUGUUGUGAAUGGAAAUGAGAGUAAUCGACGUUAAAAUUGAACUCUUUAAAAUUAUUAGGCCUGAACUAUUGUUCUUUUAGCCUGAACAUUUUUUUUAAUAUAAAGGAAUGCUCUAGUUAUUAAGACUGUCUUGGGGGCCUCCCAAAUAAAUCAUUUUUUAAACUUGAUCUGAAAUCAGGUGGGAUUACCCGCUGAACUUAAGCAUAUCAAUAAGCGGAGGAACUUGGUCAUUUAGAGGAAGUAAGGGGAGGAGG